GAUUGGAUGCAGAUACUAAUUCUGAUACAAGUUGGCCCGACUUUCAUCAUCUCCGCUAACCUGUUCAUCAGUUAUAAACGAAAUCACAGGAAACAGCAUGAUCCUGAAGCAGGACUACUCCUGGAGGAACAUGGUGAUCUCCAGGAAACAAUAA